GUCCCGUCACUUCGCACUUCCUGGCGGGAUGUUGUUGAGGCUGUGUUGUCACUCACUGAGCGAUCCGCGCGGGUAGCGACAGUUGCAGCUGCUGUAAAGCUGAGCUCGGGUCCUUUAUAACAUCAGAACUAAUCGCUAUUGUUUUAGGUCUACGAUGGUCUGUAAAUGUACGUCCAGGCGUAACGUUAACGUGCUCUGAUUCAUUAUCAGCCCUGAGCAUUUUAAUAUUCAGCAGGUGCAGCAAAUAUAGAAACUAUACUAGGAUUAAGAAACCCGUUAGGAAAAUUUGGCAGAAUUAUUGGAAUGAAGAGAAAACCGGAAGGCACCAGUUUAAAAUCCAAAAGGAGGUUAGAAUGCAGUAGCCAGGUGGGAAUAAUGAAAGGGAAGAAAUAAUACUGACAAGGCUCAGAAAUGGAUAUUGUGGACUAAAUAACACAUGACGUACAUUUAAUAAUAAUUGAAAACUAUGUAAAAUUGUAACGCGCCAGAGACCUAAUAGGGUGUUUUAUUUGUCUGUGGGUCAUUUGAGAUGCAGUGAACAUACUUUAUGGCAAAAGGUGGAGGAGUUAAGAGUUACACAGGUGUCUCUGGAGUGUUUUAAAAAUGAAUGGCAUACAUGACUGUGACGUUUUGCAACAGAGUCGGCUUUACAGUGUCACAAUCGGCAAUGCACCUAACUUGCAUAUCUUUGGACUGUGGGAGGAAACCCGACCAACUGGAGAAAACGCAUGCAGACACGGGGAGAACAUGCAAACUCCACGCAGGGAGAAAUGCUGGCAUUGCUUGCAUAUACUCGAAGGCGGAAAAAAAACUUAACCAGUUUCAAAAAAUAUUUUUUCAUGCUUUUAUAUAUAUAUUGCUAAAUGCAUUAAAACUGGGGAAAGAUGCAGAGAACCUCAAUUAGAGAAGGUUGAACAAUAACUGAAACAAUUUUUUUCCACUUGCAAAAUGCAGUGAACAGCAUGCUCUGAGCAAAGUAAAUAAUCAAACCUUAAAAAAACAAAAAGGUUCCCUUUAAGAACAAUUGCCUGUUUAGACUCUGUAGCAGGUCCCUGUGUUUUCUGUUGGCACAGUAAUUGUAUCUACUUGUUUAUAUUUAGAAGGAUGGUGGUUGUUAUUAAACCUACAUGGUCUGCAGAGUUUGCACAGGUUUUAGUUCUAUACCAGAUUAAUUGGCGACUCUAAACUGGCCCAGUAAAUUCAAAUGCAUGUGUGCGCCCUGUGAUGGACUGUGGUCCUUUGCACCUUAUGUUGCUAUGAUAGGCAUUAGCUACCACUGACCCUAAUUUGAUUAAAAGGUGAGAAAACAGAAGCCAAUGGAUGAAUGUCAGUUUAAUUCCUUCUGUCUCAGACUUCAUUUGUCCCAAUCCAAUAGGUCAUCUUCCACAAAACAAUGAAAGUUUGGCGUGUCUGUGUAUGUUUUUUUAACCUUUUGAAGUUUGUUUAUGCUACCUUUUUCAACCACGCAAACAAUAAAAGUGUGAUCUUCCAGUAAA